AACUGUACAAAGGUAGCAUAAUCAUUUGUCUUUUAAUUGGAGGCUUGUAUGAAUGGUUGGACGAGGAAUUAACUUUCUUUACUUGGUUUUUAUGAAUUUAAUUUUUUAGUCAAAAAGCUUAAAUGUAAUUGCAAGACGAGAAGACCCUAUAGAAUUUUAUUUAAUUUAUUAUAUAGGAUUUUUGGUAUUUGAUUGUUUUAUAUAAUAAAUUAAAUUUUGUUGGGGUGACAGUGAGAUUUAAUUAACUCUCAUUUAUUAUUUUUCAUGAAUUAAUGUAUUUUUUGAUCCUUUAUUAUGGAUUUUAAGAUUAAAUUACCUUAGGGAUAACAGCGUAAUUCUUUCGGAGAGUUCUUAUUGAUGAAUGGAGUUUGCGACCUCGAUGUUGGAUUAAAGUAAGUAUUGGGCGCAGAAGCUUAAUUACUAAGUCUGUUCGACUUUUAAAUCUUUACA
rnacentral:rRNA from 1 species